CGGCCAUCGCGUCUUCCUCUUAUCUUCUGUCCUGCGCCGCCGGCAGCCCUCUCCGCGCUCCACUGGUCCUAGCCCUGCCAUUCUUCCGGCACGGCGGCACCCUUGUCGGCGGCGGAGACGGCCACGGCAGAGGAUGAGAAGGCGGUCGCCGUGCCCACGCGUGAGGAUGGAGGGCACCUCGACUGGGCGCAUGGUCGGGUGAGGGGUAGCGCCCUUCCCGACGGCGGAGGACGAGAAGGUGGCCGCCGUGCUUGCUGCGGCCGCCGAUGCGUAGAGGAGGGGCGGUCAGCGCAGAAGCCCAGCUCCAAGAAUGAAGGGAUCCCCUCCUCACCUCGUCCCCGUCCUCUUCCCUACCCAGCGGACAGCCGGAGGAGGAGGAUAUGCCGUCUCUCUCCUUCCCGUACAUCGAAGGUGAGCUCCUCUACACCCAAGAGGACGCAGGCUCGCCGUGCACAACGACGGAGCAGCAGCCCGCGCCCCUCCUCCCCACCAUGAUACAUCCUCCCCCGGUCGUCGGAUCCGGCCGAGAUCAGUUUUGGACGUGCUACCACUGGGGUGCAUCCCUUUCUUACGCCCCCACGUCGGCCUCCAUGGUUGUUGUCCUCCUCUUGGUCAUGUUCUCACGGCUGGCUUCAAAGAUUACACUCGGCGGUGGCUUAACUGAAUUCAGAGAAGUUUGGACGUAUACAGUUCUACAAUCAAGCACGUGCAGAUCUUGAGUGGAUUAUGUCCUUUAACUCAGAUUUGCUCAUUGCUGUCGGUGGAUACUUGCUCUGAGGGUGUGAUCUGCAUCAUCGUCAUGUAUUGUGUCGGUCAUAAGGAUUGUGGUUGUGGCAGUGCUUCAGCGCUAAGGGCAUGUUUCCAUCAGAAUGUUGGAGCAGCUGGCUCAGCCUACAUGGUGAGGGUGUCUCCCAAGACCUCUGGAUGGGAUUGGCAUUCCACAAAUUGUUCAAUACCUUAUCUACUUUGCAACAAUGGGAUGAUGAGCUGAUUUCUCGUCUAGCGUAAAGAGAGAGAAUAAUAUAUCCGAUGUUCUUAAUUACUAGAGUCAGGGUCCUGCUCAAAUCGUGGUCCUUCUGUUCUAUGUAAUUUUAUUUUCUUGAUGAUGUGAUGUUCUGCCAUUCAUUCUAUGUUAUGCCUGAUGCGUGUGUCUUAAGCCUA